rnacentral:rRNA from 1 species
UACAGAGGGGGCAAGCGUUGUUCGGAAUUACUGGGCGUAAAGGGCGCGUAGGCGCCUUCUAAGUCGAACGUGAAAUCCCCGGGCUCAACCCGGGAACUGCGUCCGAUACUGGACGGCUUGAGUUUGGGAGAGGGACGCGGAAUUCCAGGUGUAGCGGUGAAAUGCGCAGAAUAUCAGGAGGAACACCGGUGGCGAAGGCG